UACGAAGGGUGCAAGCGUUAAUCGGAAUUACUGGGCGUAAAGGGUGCGUAGGUGGUUUGUUAAGUCUGCUGUGAAAUCCCCGGGCUCAACCUGGGAACUGCGUUUGUGACUGUAUGACUAGAGUACGGUAGAGAGGGGUGGAAUUCCUGGUGUAGCAGUGAAAUGCGUAGAUAUCAGGAGGAACAUCGAUGGCGAAGGCAGCCCCUUGGACCUGUACUGACGCUCAUGCACGAAAGCGUGGGGAGCAAACAGG
rnacentral:rRNA from 1 species